AACUUACUCCCUCUGUUCGAAAAUAUUUGUUCUAUAAAUAGAUGUAUCUAGACUUAUUUUAGUUAUAGAUACAUCCAUUUUAUACAUUUUUAGGACAAGUAUUUCCGGACGGAGUGAGUAUUUU
rnacentral:pre_miRNA from 1 species